rnacentral:rRNA from 1 species
UACGGAGGGUGCAAGCGUUAUCCGGAUUUACUGGGUUUAAAGGGUGCGUAGGUGGGUGAAUAAGUCAGCGGUGAAAUCUCCGGGCUUAACUCGGAAACUGCCAUUGAUACUAUUCGUCUUGAAUAUCCUGGAGGUGAGCGGAAUAUGUCAUGUAGCGGUGAAAUGCUUAGAUAUGACAUAGAACACCGAUUGCGAAGGCAGCUCACUACGGGAUUAUUGACACUGAGGCACGAAAGCGUGGGGAUCAAACAGG